AACGAACGCUGGCGGCAGGCUUAACACAUGCAAGUCGAACGCCCCGCCAGGGGAGUGGCCGACGGGUGAGUAACGCGUGGGAACAUACCCUUUCCUGCGGAAUAGCUCCGGGAAACUGGAAUUAAUACCGCAUACGCCCUACGGGGGAAAGAUUUAUCGGGGAAGGAUUGGCCCGCGUUGGAUUAGCUAGUUGGUGGGGUAAAGGCCUACCAAGGCGACGAUCCAUAGCUGGUCUGAGAGGAUGAUCAGCCACAUUGGGACUGAGACACGGCCCAAACUCGUAAGGAGACGAGAGGUAUGGAAUAUGGCACAGAGUGGGCAGGCAUGAAGCAGAGGUGUAGGGUGAGUGAUGAGGGCGAGAGUGAUGUAAAACUGUUGAGCGAGGGAAGAUAGGUAGGGUGGUGGAAGAAGAAGCCCGGAGUAACGUCGUGAAAGGGACGGGAGUAGUAGAAAAAAAGAAGGCUAAAUAGAGG
rnacentral:rRNA from 1 species